rnacentral:lncRNA from 1 species
UAUCCGUAGGCGAGCCCCUGGCGAUCUCUCGGCCUUAGCGCCAUCUUUUGAGAAACCUCUGCGCCAUGAGAGCGAAGUGGAGGAAGAAGCGAAUGCGCAGGCUGAAGCGCAAAAGAAGAAAGAUGAGGCAGAGGUCCAAGUAAACUUGUACACCUGUGGAAGCCACAGAAGCAGAAACAAGGGAAGCCAGAGGCCAGGGACGCUGGUACAAAGUGUGGACUGCAUGCCUACUAUCUAGAACUUCUCAAUGGAUCUGGAACAUCUAUGGCCAUUCUGAUCGCCUUGACCACCUUUGGGAGACCUACCUUGCUCAUAUCAAAGCCGUCCCUUUUAUUGCCUUGGACCUGUGAUAACUAUGGACUAGUUCUCUUCUCAGUUGUGGCUGAAUGUAACGUGUACAAUAAAUCAUCUCUUGCUGUCUUAG